CACCUACUCCCUCCGUUCGGAAUUACUUGUCAUCAAAAUGAAUGUAUCUAGAACUAAGAUACAUCUAGAUACAUCCAUUUCAAUGACAAGUAUUUCCGAACGGAGGGAGUAGAUC
rnacentral:pre_miRNA from 1 species